CAGCCGCCGCGGUAAUACGGAGAGAGCUAGCGUUAUUCGGAAUUACUGGGCGUAAAGCGCACGUAGGCGGCUUUGUAAGUAAGAGGUGAAAGCCCGGGGCUCAACCCCGGAAUUGCCCUUUAGACUGCAUCGCUUGAAUCAUGGAGAGGUCAGUGGAAUUCCGAGUGUAGAGGUGAAAUCCGUAGAUAUUCGGAAGAACACCAGCGGCGAAGGCGGCUGACUGGACAUGUAUUGACGCUGAGGUGCGAAAGCGUGGGGAGCAAACAGGAUUAGAUACCCGCGUAGUCCCUGUCUCUUAUAC
rnacentral:rRNA from 1 species